CCACAUAGACAAGGUUAAAAAAGGGGAAAGAUACACUCUUGGGGCAUUACAAACUCUCCCACACUACAAAAAUACCUCGCCCCGAGAUCUACGCCUGAAAGAACUCCGGAAAUUCAGAACGGAGGUGAUCCUCGCGUUCCCAAGUAGCCUCUUUAUCGGAAUGGUGUGACCACUGCACUUUGAUAAAUUUGACAGUCUUGUUGCGGG
rnacentral:lncRNA from 1 species